rnacentral:lncRNA from 10 species
GGCGAGGCCACCUGGCGUGGCCGCAGUGAGGACGGCAACACACCACAAGAUGUGGCCCUGCUGGGGCAGCAGGUGGCUCGGCUCACUCAACCAUUCACUCAGACACGCUGCAACUGUUUAUUCCAGAAUCAGAGGUUGGAAACCCAACUGUAUAUAGACUGAAAGCAAAACAAAUACACAACUGAACACAAUAUAUGCAGUUAUCCAGCAAGACAGGCAACGCAACACAAUAUAUGCAGUUAUUGACAAGACAGGUGCACAGGCACAGCACACAGAGUGAGAUGAAGGCAGCCUAGCGAGCAGAGGCUCUGCAGCACGGAGGGCUGGGAAGGCCAUCGCUCGAGUUAAUCCAAUCCCAGUGCUUCAGGACACCUUGGGCCACGUUGACAUCUCUCUUUUCCUGGGAGGAGCCCUAGGGUACAGCUGCAUGGUUCCAUGGAGUUUCAGGCGUCUGCCAGCUCUGUUUCACUGUUUGUGGUUAAACUGCUUUCUCCUUUUUAAAAAAAAAUUUUUUGCCAGGUGCAGUGGCUCACGCCUGUAAUCCCAGCAUUUUGGGAGGCUGAGGUGGUUGGAUCACCUGAGGUCAGAAAUUCCAGCCUGACCGGCCCGAUCAACAUGGCGAAACCCGUCUCAACUAAGAAUACAAUUAGCCAGGCGCGGUGGCGCGCGCCUGUAAUCCCAGCUACUCCAGAGGCUGAGGCAGGAGAAUCGCUUGAACCCAGGAGGCGGAGGUUGCUGUGAGCCGAGAUCACGCCACUGAACUCCAGCCUGGGUGACAAAGUGAGACUCUGUCUCAAAAAAAAAAAAAAAAUUUGUAGAGACAGAGUCUCCCAUGUAGAAACUCCUGGACUCCAGCAAUCCUCCCACCUUGGCCUCCCAGUGUGCUGGGAUUAUAGGGCACGAGCCACCGUGCCUGGCCUCUCCUUUCUUUUUAAGGCAAGCUCAUGCCCACAGUGCAGUGCCAGAAUGGAGGGGGCUCCAUCACCCUGAGCACAGAGGGCUUCAUGGCGAGUGGAUGGGCCAGGGCCGUGUGAGAAGAAACCUGUCUGCCAAGGGUGACAGGGAAGUCUUCUGCGGGAGGCUGGACCACCUGAAUAUCCUCAACCCCUCAGGGUCAGACGGAACCUUUACCCCCGACUCCCACCCCACGACAGUGCUGAUGAUGAGCUGGGGCCCCCUGCACCCACCCAGCUGGUGCGGGCAGCCUUCUCAAUUUUCCAUUCUCGUGUCUGUCACCCUUGCCCCAGUGCGAGUCCGACUGAAAGACUGAAUGUACAAGUUUGAGUUGGGGCCUGGGUUGCCAGGCCUCCAGGGCCCUGAGUAUGGUCCAGGAGGGUGGUGACUGGCUGUGAGGAAUGGCCCAGGGCCGAGUGUGGUCCAGGAGGGUGGUGACUGGCUGUGAGGAAUGGGAGGAGGGUGGUGACUGGCUGUGAGGAAUGGCCCAGGGCCGAGUAUGGUCCAGGAGGGUGGUGACUGGCUGUGAGGAAUGGGAGGAGGGUGGUGACUGGCUGUGAGGAAUGGGGCCUACUGUUGUCAGAAACUACAGUUUUUCUAAGAAAAGCUGAAAAUCCAGAUUUGUACGUAAGUCUCCUGAUUCUAAAAGGCUGACAGUUAUUAAUGUUCUGGCAAAAACAUUUUCAAGGAAAAUAUGAGUGGGUAAAAGAAAGAGCCAAAAUGGGCAGGGAUCUGGGACUGUGGACUGCCUGCCCUAACAACCCCAGGGCCACAGGAGUCCACAGGCACAGCCACCCCACCCUCUGCCCUCACUCCCACAUCAAAUCACCUUCAAGUCAUGUGCAUUAGAACCUCUGGGGGUCCUAGCUCUUCACAGGACACUUUCUGGAUUUUUCUUUUUAAACCUAAAAUACAGUAGUCUGUCUCCAUUCCCACUCUUUGGGACUUUUUCACAAUCUUAGGAUGAAGGGAUAAAUUGGGGAAGUGCUCCUCUCAUGUUAAAACGUUCCAAUCUGCCAGGCACGGUGGCUCAUGCCUGCAGUCCUGGCACUUUGGGAGGCCAAGGCGGGUGGAUCAGGAGGUCAGGAAUUCAAUACCAGCCUGGCCAACAUAGUGAAACCCCAUCUCUACUAAAAAUACAAAAAUUAGCUGGGCAUGGUGGUGUGCGCGUUAGUCCCAGCUACUCGGGAGGCUGGGGCAAGAGAAUCGCUUGAACCCGGGAGGCAGAGGUUGCAGUGAGCUGAGAUUGCGCCAUUGCACUCCAGCCUGGGUGACAGAGUGAGACUCCGUCUCAAAAAAAAAAAAAGAAAAAAAAAGUUCCAAUCCCACACCUAUUAUGAAGAUAGCACCACAUGAAACUGCCUGAGGGGCCUCCAAUAAACGGGGUAGCAGGGAACUCGGAGAAACCAAAGUAAUCCAUUGAGCGGUUUUCUUAAGUGUCUUUAAUACUCCACUCAGGGCAGCCCCUCCCUCUACUGAGAGGCUGUGUGUGCCACGCUCCUGGCUCUGGUACGUGGUAUGCA